AAAAGAUCUUUACUCACACAUUUGCUUUACUAAUUUCAGAUCCUAAUCUUUCAAUAUUUUCUUCUGUUCUUCCCACAAACACCAGUUUGGUCCCACUUGGUUGUGCAGGGGAUUGACUCCACCCCUGCUUUCCAUGUGUGUCAAGAUCUGUGAGGAUCCAGCUGCUGCAAGGCCCAGACUUUUAAAUGCUUAACUUUGGGGUCUUCUGCCAAAAAAGUAUUUUUAUGGUCACACCAGGAAUAUGUUCUAGAAGGUCAUUACAGCUCACAGUGGACAGUGCAGUAUGAACAGGAGGAGCAGGAGACCCCACACAGGUUUCCAGCAGGGGUGCAGCUACCUGGAAGUGCCCUCAGCAGAGGAAACUGGCCUGCUUGUUUAUGCUGUGAAGGUGUGCGAGCAGGUAAUAUACGGAU